CCCCCCCAAAAAAAAACAAAACAAAAAAAAACACCACUGUUGCAGAUGAUGUUUGCAGAUAGCUCCUUCUUCUAGAUGUCUAAAGCUCAGUUGGUGACAAUAUGAGACCUAAGAACCCUUUGUGACUGCUUUUAUUCUCAUUUUUAUUUUACAGUGUUGGACUAAAUUCAGCCACACUGUUAUACACCAGUACAAGAGGCCUUUCACUGCAUUAGUUGGUGCUAUAGGCAAUUCACAGUGUCAGAGCAAUACUGAGACAAUGAAGCUCUUGCACAAAAGAGAAGACUCUACUAAAAAUGAAUGAUGUUUGAUUAAGAGGAAGGGGAAUCUUGUUUGUCAAAAGAACUCUGAAGUCUAAAAUAGCUCAGCCAUAAAUGUAGCUGUUUCUGUCCAUUAACUGUCUAAAGAUAACCUACAGUGAAUGUCGGACUGGAAUGUCUCUAGAACACUGGUCUUAGAUCAUACAGGAUGAAUUCCGCUGCAAGACAUGUUUAGUAUACAUCAGCAAUCCCAAUUAACUACCCUUCCACACUCCCCAGCCAAGUAUCAAAUAGGUACAACCACUUGCAACACCCAGAUGUUCUCAUGACCACAGAUGCAAAAUUACCUUUCAUACAAACACACACACACCAUACACAGCCAUGGUUAGGAAUGUUUUGCAGAUAUCUACUCCAUACAUCUACAGUCCAUCCACGGUACAAACAAAACACGUACUGAGAAUGUCUUGGAAAGGACACAUUAAUCUGAGAGGGUGCUGCAUGUUUCCUAAGGAACAAUCUUAGUGCAGGAAGACUGAAAGAAUGUAGUCAUCCUAUUGUGAGGAAGGGAAGGAAGACUAUGAGGUCUUUAGUGGAACCCAAGUUGGUGCCACACCCUCCUGAUAACCAUAGCAGAUGGGCAUUGGGCUGCAGACAUUUCUCAGCGCACAGAAGAAUGCAACAGCAUGUGUCAGGUUUGGCAUGUAUGAAAUAUGGCAGCUGCAAAUUAUUUUGCCCAUAUGGGAGUGUUUGGGUACACAAAGGAGUCUGUCUGAAAGAAAAAAAAAAAAAAACAGAAAAAUGGCUCAGGAGGGAAAAAUGAAGAAUUUAAUGACAACUGAUCAAUGUGAAGAGAGACACAGAGGAAUAUAAAAUGACACAAUGGCAACAGGUCAUGUGCAUUCCUUCACUUGGGAUGCCAGUCCUACAUCUGGAGUAAGGUGCAGUCAAGGAGCUGCUGAGAAAGAGCAAUGAAUCUUGCAGAGGAAUGGAUUCAUCUGAUUGGAAAAAGGUGUACAUACAGGUCUGCACAUCAGCUCUCAGACCCCUCUAGCCUUGGGACUAGUCUCUUUAGAAGAGGAGAAGCAAAGGACAUUUCCUGGAUUUGCCUCACAAUGUUCACUACAUGCUGUUUGAGUAGCUGCUCUCCCCGGACAAUGGUAAAUGCAUUAGAUGCUUCAAUGUGUGAUUAUCACAUUUCAUGAUUGUAUUCCACAGGCCACGCAGAAUUUCUGUGCAGAACCACGCUUCAGCUACAAACGAGAGUUGAAAAAUGUAUUCUCUGCGCUUUCUCAAGAAGCCUACUGAUCUGUGAUCAAAAGGAAGGUCUCCGAGGUCUUAGGCAUAUGCAGUGAAUAUUAGAGGUUGCAGGCAGAGUAGAACACUGGAUGCUUGCCCGUGCACUGACUAGAAGGAAACCAAAGACUCUCAACAUGGCUCAUUUUGUUGUUUCUGAUGCCAAGCACAUGAGAUUUCUGCUAAACGUUGAUGAAUUUAGCAUGCUGUUCUUCCACUUCUUGGAAAGAAAGCUGUUUUGUGAAGGAUUGGGUUCAGUGUUUGGAAUAGGCAAAAAGCAUAUAGGCCCUUUGUCCAAUCCAGACAGAAUGCAGUGCUCAGCCCAGGUCACCACACCAAGCACCAUGGCUGCUGUGGUGGUCUUGGCUGCAGGCUGCUGCCAAUCUGUGUCACUCACAGGCUGUGAGGCAAAAGCAGUGAGAAGGAAAAAUCUUUGUGGGUGCAGUUGUGUGUGUGAAACAGCUUUCACGUGUGGACAAAUUCACGUGUUACCAUCACUAGUUUGCUCACCAUGUGCUUCUGUGAUAAUGGUGCCUUCAACAGCAUUAAGUGGGUUAGUAGGCAGCAUGGUCCACUUUCUCCCUCCAACACACACAAUGAUCAUCCCUGCCUCAGGUGAGAAUGGCUGGGAUCAGUGAGGCGUGAAAAGGAGAUUGCACAAAUCCCUGUCAGCCACUGCCCAUGACGUAUCACCAUUCUCAAUAGGUUGAAAAACUUUAAAGGAAACUUCUAACCACACUCCUGUUCUCCCAAGACUUCACCUGGUACCAUGACUACAAAGAGCAUAAACUGAAAGAGUUCACUGCAUGUGUCAAGUCCCAAAAAUCCCCAGCAUCUUCACUGUUCCAACCCUUUCCUUUACUCUCCCGUAUUAUACCUUCCUCUGUCCCGUGUCAGGAAGGAGUACCUAACCCCAACUCUAUGGCCUAGGAGAUCAUGGGUGCGCAGAUCUCACGAUGGCAGCUGCAAGUGCUAUGACUGAUCUAGAUUCUCUAAGGACAAUCCUGGAAUAAGAGGAUGCUUGGAGAAAAAGGUCACGCUGUGUCUGAUACUCUCAGUGAAGAUGUAACAUGUGCCUUCAGUACCAUUCAAGAAGUGUCACUCUUCUGUCCAUGCAGUCCUUAUUAUUUGCCAGGAUUUGCAUUACUUGAAAAUAUGGAUCUUGGUAAGCACAAAGAAAUUGCAAAUAUCCUAGGUCCGUUUGCAAAAGGGAGGUAUGGCAAUUACGAUAAAGGUACAAAGAAAACGCACAGAAGCAGAAUAAAUGGAGAUGUCUCUGCUUUCUGCCCACCCGUGGUCAUGGGUAACACAGAGGUUCUGCAGGACAUCUGGAAGCAAAGACAAAGACACACAUUGUCACAGUAACAUGAAGGUGGGGGGGGGGGGGGGUGUUAAUUCUCACCAAAUGGCAUCACCAAAUUCUGGAGGCUGUUUUGGAAGAGGUGUCACUCCACUCAGUAGGUGCCCAAAUUGAGGCUAUGUGCUUUCUUGCCUGCAGGAGCCUCAGUGCUCAGCUUGGCCACAAGGAUGUGACAAAGUUCAAACAUUCACCAUGCUUUCCAUUAGCUUUGACCAUCACUGGGGGUGAAAUAAAUCAUUCUUCCUCAUAAAGUUUAUAUCUCUCAGACAAGGCAUUAGGCAAAAACAAGAAAUGCUCUGUGUUCAUUAAAGCUCUGCUGAUGCUUUUAACAUUGGUAAAUCCACCCAUCCUGGGCAAUCACAUUGCAUCUUUCACUGACCCAUGAGUAUAACCCUGGACAUGUCUGACUUUCUACGGGGAUGCUAAGCUGACAGAGGCAGUACAAUGCUCUUUAUUCUGUGCAGUAAGAGGAGCUCUGCAAUUUGUUGCUGUUUUCUGCUGGCUAUCACAGCACAACAACGUGUAAGCAGCAGCAAGUUUCUCACCAAUGGCACCGGCUCAUUCACUCUGGGUACACAACAUACACACAACUGUGAAGCUCGGGACAAUGUUGCUACAAACCAAAAAAAUCCAGACACAACAAUUGUGAAGACAAUCAGAGAACUUACACUCGCUUUAAAACAGCACCGUGAAGGUCCCUAAUUUACCAUACUUCACCUGUUGCAGACCCCCUGAAGGAGGGCACCCACAGAGGUGCGCAGAGGUGAUACGACGGGGCAGCGCCCCGCACCCAGCGCCACGGCUCUGCCUCCAAACCGCGCUGCGCGUCACGGCCCGGAGGGACGGAAACGGGGCGGCCCCAGCGCCUCCCUCCCGGCCCGGCCCCCCGCCGCCCCGCACCUGGCUUCACGUCGCAGCCUGGCUGCUUCCCUUUACACAGAAGACGUGUACCAGAUAUAUCACUUAUGACUGGAUGGCCAAGUGGUUUGCAGCAGCAAAAGCUCCAGAUGCACAGAGGGAGGAUACCCCCAAGCUGACUUCUGUGAGGCUUGGUGGUCCGCCAGGUUGCAGGGCUCCUGCCUGGCCCAUGGAAACCUGAAAGCCCCACCGGAAAAGAUCUACAUGAAACUCCUGGUAGUCUCAAGACUCUCUGCCUGGACCUUCAGCUGAUGUAGGAUCUCUGGUCAACUACUUAGGUUGACCAAGUUUUCCUGUGGUGUCCAGUACCUCUACCAUGAAGGGUGAUGGAAUAAACAGAGAUAAACCUUCAGGAGCUGUCCCUCCAGGACGUACUCAGCAGGAGAGUGUCCUGAGAAGAGAGUAGAGAAGAAACAGAUGUUUAAAGCAGUCAUCUAUCUGGAGUGACCGAGUUGCACCAGGCAGCUGACUGAGCCCUCAGGCUAAAAAAACACCUGCAUAUUGCUGUCAUUUUUUGUAAAUGUUGCUUUCCAAAGAUUGAUCAGCUAAAUAAAGAAGUAAUUAUGAAUCAGAUGAAAAACACGGGAAUAGUGUUGAGUUUUUCCAUUGAAACCAUUGUGAUUUUUUUGGCAAUUAAUAGCUGAGAAAGGAAGAAAAAGGAAAUAAAGAGAACAAAAUCCCGCUGUAAUAUAUCUAGCUCAUUACCAGUCAGCACUUGAAGCACCCUAAUUUUGCCCAAUACCUUGCACUCUUCAUUGGUUUUCAAAAGCAUUGUCAAAUUUCAAUUCCAAGCUGCUUUCAGAUUUGCUGAGUUUCCUGUUUAAAAAUCCUUUUUGAAUGUCCGUGGACCCUCUGUUUUUAUUCUUUGAUUGACUUUCAAGCAGUGUAUUCUGCACACUGUAAAAGCAUUGCUAAUCAAAGUACACAUGAGCCAAUUAAUAGUGUGUGCUUAGGGAUGGACAAGUUUCUUCUGAAAGAGUGAUCAUCUGGAGUUAUAGAGUGAAUAGACUUCAAGCUUUUAUCUCCUCUUUCCCUGAACAAUUUUGUCAUGCAAAACAGCUUGCAGUGAUAUCUGUGAUGACUAUUUUGCCUGUAACUAUGUCUUAGAAGACUGAACAACUAGAUAAACAGGAGAGAGCCAUGUCACUGAAGCACGUACCUCUCUCUGCUCUGUCCCUCCACGAAGAAUUGACAUCCAAUAUUAUGAGAUAGCCAACCAACCCUAGAUGUAUGUGUGAUCCCUUUAUGGCUAGCAGUUUACAUCUAGCUGGUAUGGGGAAAAAAAUGUAAGCUCAUAGCUGUCCAAAGGGAGGAGACACAGAAAGCCCCUGCUGAACAAUGACAGUAAUAAAACAAUAGCCCCACAGAGAUGCUAGGUUUUCUUACAAAUAAUAAAAAAAAGAAACAGCAUAGUUCAGAGGGUAUGCAUUAUUGUUGCUCAGCCACCAGCAAGGAAAGGUUGAGCUACCUUGGUAUACGGGUACUGAGCAUCAGAGAAAUAAAAAGAAAAGAACACAGCCAUUCUGUGUUAGAAGAUCAGUGCCAUAGAUCACAGACAACUCGUAUCUUCUCAGAAACAAUAGCACCAAAGUCUGCAGCAUAGCUACAAACAAAAGAGGAAUCCCAUUUUCUAAGCAAGCUUGAGAACGAUAUGAUUAUCAAAACAAUUUUAAGAAGUUAUCUAAAUACUUUUUUAUGUGUAAGUUGAUUUAAAAAAUAACAUUUUGGGGGAUGUUAGUACACUUUUUACUAUUUACUCUUUUUUAACCUAUAUUUCUUUUCAGCACAGCAUGGUUAAAAUAGUACAAAAACAGGAAAUACAGAUCUUCUUCAGUUGCUGAGAGAAAAUGAGAUCCUUUUCACAAUGUACUUCUGGUGGCAUUAUAGCUGAGUGCAGAAUACACAUACCGCAGUUUGAAAAGUGAUAGACGGAGCUAAUAUGCUUUGUUGGGACAUACAGUUAGCUGCUGCAAGCACAGUUCUUCACUGCUUCUAUUUCACUGUUUCCAUACCCCAGUGUAGUUUCUCUGCCCAACAGCAUGCUCCAUCAUAUCACUGCCCUAAGUUGCUCAGCACUGGCUCAUGGAGCUGCACACACUUCUGCAGGCGCAUUUUGUUGUGCAACUGCUUCCUCCAAGAAUACUGCAUCUGCCACAUGGACAAGCUUUCAGGCUCUCAAGUUCUGCCUAUACUAGGGUUUCUCAGUUAGAGCAUACUAUGAGUACUUAAAAAUUGCUCAAGCUUAGAACAGAUUACAGAUCUCAGUUUGCAUUUUCUGAGAAAUUGCACCAUUUUGAAAACCUAAUUAGCCCCUUUUUAGAAUGAAAGCUUAAACCAUUGCCUGGGAAAUAGGCAUUCCAGUAACAAUUUAAUUUGAGAAACAAUGAUUCAGUGCAUUUCCAAAAGCUAACAAGUUUGUCUAGAGCAGUGAGGUCCUGAGCUCCAGGAGGUCCUUGCAUUCCCCAGGUCCAUGAGACAAGGAAGAGGUUAUCAUACACACAUAGGUCUGACAAAGGGAAAACUGACAGCCAACCCACCCAGCAGAGAGCUAUGAAAAGUUAUCUGUGUUGCAUUAUAAGACUUGCUGAGAUAAGCUUUCAUGAAAUGUUUCAUUCUCAACGAACCAGCAACUUUAGACAGAAAGCAUUUCAGCUGAAUGGUGUUUCCAGAGAGUUGCAUUUGUAGCUGGAUGACACAAUGAUGAAAAAAUCUCAGGCUUGGCUAGCUGGUCAGCACUAGUUAGGUACUGCAAGGGUCAGCCUCCUCAAACAAGCGUUGGGUCAGCUUCUAUUCUCCUAAUUGCUGCUUGCACUUGCUUCAGCAGUGCUACAUAUGAGCACUAAC
ensembl:lncRNA